UGGGGAAUUUUGGACAAUGGGGGCAACCCUGAUCCAGCCAUCCCGCGUGUGCGAUGAAGGCCUUCGGGUUGUAAAGCACUUUUGGCAGGGAAGAAACAGCCUGGGAUAAUACCCCCGGGCGACUGACGGUACCUGCAGAAUAAGCACCGGCUAACUACGUGCCAGCAGCCGCGGUAAUACGUAGGGUGCAAGCGUUAAUCGGAAUUACUGGGCGUAAAGCGUGCGCAGGCGGUUCGGAAAGAAAGGUGUGAAAUCCCAGGGCUUAACCUUGGAACUGCACUUUUAACUACCGACUAGAGUACGUCAGAGGGGGGUAGAAUUCCACGUGUAGCAGUGAAAUGCGUAGAGAUGUGGAGGAAUACCGAUGGCGAAGGCAGCCCCCUGGGAUGAUACUGACGCUCAUGCACGAAAGCGUGGGGGAGCAAACAGGAUUAGAUACCCUGGUAGUCCACGCCCUAAACGAUGUCAACUAGCUGUUGGGGGUUUAUUAACCUUAGUAGCGCAGCUAACGCGUGAAGUUGACCCGCCUGGGGGAGUACGG
rnacentral:rRNA from 1 species